ensembl:lncRNA
UUCUGAUUUAAAUAGAAUAUCCUUGAUGUCUAGCCAGUUCUCCUGGGCAUAUUUGCCCUUCAACCUCUCAUGAGAUCCUUCCUGCUAAUUCCCCGAAAAAGCCCACAAAGUCCUAAGCUGUCAGACUACUAUUCCCUUUCCUUAAUUCCUUUAACAUCUUUUUAUGGUCACUGUAGCCAAGUCUGCUGUCAAGCUUUCUCAUUCUGUACCAGCUCUUACAUAUUCAGAAGGUCAGGUCAGUGGAGCCCUUCUAGUCAGUCUACCUAAGUGAACCACAAAAUUGUCCCCCAUGUACUCCAGAAAUCUCAUCAGCUACCUGUUCCCUGAUGUGAUGUCCAUCCAGCAGAUGUCAGAAUGAUUCAAGACUCCAUUUGAGAAGCAGGGCCUAUGGGACUUAUUCCAGUUGUUUAAGGAAGGCUAUGCUCUUCUUGUCUGGGCAACCAGUAGCAGAAUCCUAUCACUAUGUCUGCUUCAUGGCCUCCCUUCUGAUCCCAUAAACUGCUGACAGACUUGUCCUUUUCAUAGCAAAGCUCCUUGCAUCUGAGCUGCUUUGUUAUACAGAGCACAAUUCAUCAUAGCCCUCCAGUCAGGGGAACCAUCCUACAACACUGUGGCUGAAGAAACAGUUCUAAUGCAUUGUUGCGAACUGCAAAAUUAUUGACUGCUCAAAUGGUUUUCCUGUGAAUUUCAUCUGCUUUCUAGCUCUGACUCAGUCUCUGAUCAGUAUGGUAAAUGGGUUUGAUAGAACCAUGCAGGGAGAUGGCACUUUUGUGCUUCCCUCUACUUACACUGCUUCUAGGUCACUCUUUAGAUUAGCAUCUUCUCCUCUAGUUCAGGAAAUGGGAGAUGUUCUUAUGAAGACUGGAAUAAAUUUUCUCAUUCAAUAGCUAAUGGAAACCUAACUUCUCUCAGUUGCUCUAAGGUUGUGAAGUAGCAUUCAAAAAGAUCAUCUUAAUCCACUAUUUGGCAAUGCAAGUUACACACAUGGACCAUCUGCCUCCUGUUUAUCCUCUUCUUUCAUGGACGUUCUCUUUCACUCUCAUUUCAUAUUAAAUUUCUGGCUGAAGAUAAAGCUGAACAUUUGGUUCAAGCAGCAGAGCCACCUGAUGUCUAUUUGCAGAAAACAAAACCAAUCUAUUGACAAGUCAAGGACUAGAUUUUUUUAACACACAGUUAAUCAAAAUAGCAUUGCAUAACAUUUUAUAAGAGUAAUGUCUCACUAAUCUGAGAAAACCCCUCAUGGCUUUGUCCUAAACAGACUCCCAACUAUCACUGCUAUUGUACUCUAAACACUUUUAAGAACUAUACACAAGCCUUUUCUUCUUCAUAUCCUACCAAUAAUAACAUUCUGUAUCAUUCAGAGAAAAUAAAUCUAAUUUUUUAUCUUAUAUGAUAUUGCACCUAUACUACCAGUGGGUAUCUGCAUACAAUCUACAGCUUUCAAGUGGCUCCCUCAGUCUAAGUACAAAGGCAUAUAUACAUGCCACAGAAAAAAAAGGCCUUGGGAACAUUUGUUCCUAGUUGCUAAAGAAUACAUCAUAAACAUAUAUAUAAUGUAAGGAAAAAUUCAUAAUAAGCUAAUACUGUCAAUAUAUAGAAGAACAGGAAACUGGAGCUUAAAUUGACAUGACUCUGACACUGCUCCGACAAAUGCUGUUGCAUUUCCCUGCACAGCAAAUCCUUCAACUAUAAAGUUGAGAGUACACUCAGAAAGACUCUUCAAGAGUGAUUUUUUUAAUUUCUUUUUUUGUAAGGCUCAAAGGUAACGUGAGUACCAACACGAGAGCGUGAGCUGGGGAGCUGCCAUAGUUUAAUAAAUUAAAUGGCUAUCGCCACCUACUGGCUGUAUUGCAAUAUUAGUAUUUUAAAAUGUGAUUUCAAGCAUAGGAAAUCAAAUACGUGCUUUAUCCGUACAAAAAUUACGUACUCUACUAAUAGAAUAAUUCACUGGUUCAAUCUUCUUCAGUGAGGACAUUAUACUUACAGUUUUCACCACUUGACAAGGUAUGUCAAUAAAGCAAUGUUGUAUAUUCACAAAUUCCAUAUCUGGAUAAAAUUUGACUAUUAAUAAAUGUAAUUAUUGUCCUGGCCUGUCUGUACCUGCUUCAUAUACAACAACAAUAAACAACAUAUUCAGGAUGUCAGAUGUGGGAACCUAUUUUUGACCUAAAGCACAAUGGCUCCUGAUCACUGGAUGGGUGUAGGUGUUAGAAAUAUUACCAUAUUUAAGCAAGGCUAUGGCCAUGAACCAGGUGAAGAAUACAAUAAAUAGAUUGUAUCAUUUGUGCUGUUAACAAUCAAUGGAAUUAACUGCACUCAAUGUCCUUCUAAUUCUCCUACAUCUAAGCAGCACUGAAGAAUGACAUCAUAUUCUGAAGAAAAGAAUUCCGUUUUAGGAGCACAGUUAAUCACAUUUGCAAUAGCAUUUUUCAAGAUAACCCAAAGCGAAAUGAACAAGAUGAGUUUCAAGGAAUUUUGGUAAAUGAUAAGGAGAGGAUGCUGUCAGUUCUGGUUCGGACCACGCGGCGAUAGUGAAAACAAAAGAACAAUGGAGAAUGAAGAAAAUCACCUUCAUUCACAGCAGCACAAAAUUUUUUAUCUCCUGCUUUGUCAGCUGAUAGUUGCUACAUCACCUAAUGCACAUUAUUCUACCAAUUCAGCCAGUAGAGCACUUCUUCAAAGCUUCUAAGCAAAUUAUGUGACUUAGUUAUUAAUAAUUAUUAAUGCGGUUUGCCUAAAUUUGUACUGAAACAGGACAGAGUCCUUAGAUAGCUGGCUGUAUAGGUAAAGGCAGCAGCCUUUGCCUUCUGAAUGAUGACGGUUUGUUUUGGGAAGCAGGUUUCUUAGCUCAGUUUAACCAGAAUGUAGAUUAACCAGAGGAUUUACACAGCGUGGAUGUUCUCAUUCAGUUGUGAAGUAAUUUUACCUUUUGGCUUACUAUGCAAUAAAAUGAAAUCACUCUACUCCAGAAAGAAAUUAUCCGCAGGAGAGUUUAAGAUAGAGUAAUUUAGGUGUAUUGACUUUAUGUGUUCAGCCAAUUUCCUUACAUUUAUGGAUUGUUCCUGUGCAGACCAGCCCUCUUAAGUUUCACAUAUGGAUAUGUCAGGCACAACGUAGUCAAGAAAAUUUACACAUUCAGCAGAAACU